UGAUAUGACCAAGCCCGAUCUGGACCAUCUUGGGAAAUAAGCAGAGUUGGGCCUGGUUGGUACGUGGAUGGGAGGCCACCUUGGAAUACCAGGUGUUGUAAAAG
rnacentral:rRNA from 12 species